CUCUGUGUGAUGUCAGUACAGACCCUAACCAUGAGCACACUAGAACUAACCCUAAUCGUAACAGUGUCUAAAUGCCCAUGCUCCAAGUGACUCAAAUAAAUACAAAACCAGGUAGUUGGAGUGAAUAACAAAAUGGAAACAAGACUCUGAUAGUACCUUGUUUACCCCCAACAAGAAAAUUUACCCAUUUACCCAUUUCGUCAAAAUGAUUUGGUUUUUUGUGUUCUCAAAAAAACACUUAAUAGAAGGCACAUAUUUUACUUUAUUCAUGGUGUCUGUACUGGCUGCAGCCUCACUUCUCAUUACCUCAUUUUUUGUGUUACCAUUAUAUCAACUGGUUUGUGUAUGUGCAAUAUGUUUUGAACCUAACAUGUGUGGCUGGAAUCCCAGCCCUGAAAUAAGUAAUCUCUCUAUAAUCGUCAAAUUGAUUUUACAAGACGUAGAGUGAGUAACCAUGAGUUUCUUUCUAUAGGCAUGUUGCUGCUGGAGUCGUAUAUGAAUCGUCAGUAGAUGCAUUUUCCCAAUCAGUGUCUUUACAACUACAUUUGAUUAAUUCGUGGAUGUGGCAAAUUUUGAUGUUUUCUUUCGACAUGCUUAGUACACCACCUGCCCAACCUUCUGCAGACGGGCGAUGAGACCGCAGGGGACAAGACAAAAGAUAUCCACGGGCCCGGAUGAAAAAAAUGUGUUUGUAUUAUUAGAAUAUUAUGUGACAACAUUAUGUAAUAAAAA
ensembl:lncRNA